UCUAUGUUAUAAGAAAACAUUAAUUUGCUUUGAUAAGUCAUAACUGAAGUGCAACGCUGGGAACAGAAAGCAUUAUGCUAAACCAAAUCACCAAAUCAGAUUUUUGUGAUUCAGUUUAAAAUGGGAUCUCAAAGGACAAAAAGCACCCUAUUUCUGACUCUUUGGAUGCCUGUUAGGCACAACUAACCACUCCGCACCACCAACAUACCUCGCCGUCAGUCUUUCCCAUAUUAGUUAAUGGCACUAUCAUCCAGCCACAUAUUCAGACCAAACAGCAAGAAGUCAUUCCUAUUUGUAACCCGACCCAGCUACAAGUCUUAACUGUUCUAUCUCCAAAAUAGAUUAUGAAAUGACCACAUUAUUUCCACCUCCACUGAUACUAUGCUUUGUUGGAAUAUGGUGAGACUAACUCCUUUUAAAAUGUGAAAUCAAUUUCAGUAUGCUCCUGUAAAGCGCCACUAUUACUUCCUCUUGUAAUUGGAAUUAAAUGAAGACUUUUGCUGUGACCCAUUGAAGAGAUUGCAUUCCAUAAAUGGGCAUUUUUCUGCGAUAGAGAAAAAGAUCAUCUGUUAAGUAGAUACAUCAGAUCCCAUCUGAGAGCGUGACAAACAGUACAGGAAAGGGGAGAGAAGAGUUUCACCAGACUGGAAGCCAGGACCUGAGCUCUGAAAGGCUCAAUGGACCAUGAAAGGUCAAGGAUGGCUUGGGUGUCGAUGACCAUAGGCGUGAGCAUUUUAAGAUACCACAGCUGUACUGACACUUUCGUCUGUGAAUUUGCUAUGUACUUAGCUAAACUUUCCUGACAUUUAUGUAUCUUUUGAAAACUUUGUAUCUCGGGUUGACAGAGAAUAGCCUUGAUUCCUUUUUCUCCUCUAGUAAGGCACCCUGGAAUUAAGAACCACUGAAUAGUUUUUUCUCCUUGUUAUUACACUUGUGAUUUAAAAUCUAUUGAGGAAUUUUGGCUCACAAAAUCUUACUUAAUAAAGUCCUUCAAUAAUUCACUCUGGGAAAAAAAUCUAUAUAAUUAAAUAAAAUCACAGACAUAGCUUAUUGCAUAUCAACGCGUGUAAAACAAAUGUCUAUGAAUAAGUUUUAUUGAGCCAUGAAUCUGAACACCCACUGAAUCAGGUUGUUCCCAGAUUGGCUCAGCAUUUUAUGAAACCUAUUAUUCUUAUCUGACAUUACUGCAGUAUAACAGACCAUAGUGGCUUUUGAUUACAUUCCAUUUUAUUAUUGCUUUGUAGCAAAUUGUUCUCACCAAUAAGGGAUAAAGAUACAAAGGCAAUUGCAGCACAAACACGAAGACAUUUAUUUCCUUUUUUUGUGUGGUAAGAGUGUCCAGAAAUGUAUGAACAACUGGUCUUUUUAUUUAACUCAUCUUGAAAUAAUCAUGUCACAAAUAAAGAAUUCAUAUACGUUACAAGCUAGAUAACACACUUAGAAGCUAAUAAAAUUAUUUUUUAAAAUUGUGUGCUUUCACUAAGAUGGAACAAAUACGUUAAAUAUUAGCUAAAAUAUAAGUUUAUAUAUAAGUAAAUUAUUAGACUACUAUAAGUAAACUGAAUACUGAUGUUUAUACAUCCUUAUUUUGUUGUGAUAGUCUUCAAUGUAUUCAUAGUGGAGGAAUAUUCCCUGCAAUAAAUAUCCACAAGCUAUUUGAAAUUCAUGCGUUUUUCCACUUUCUUUUUGACAAAUAUCUCCUGGCAGUGAGGAAGUGCAACAGUGUAGAUUUGAUUUAUGUGUUCAAUUCCUUUAAAAUUUUUCUUUGUCCAUGACUGUUAUAAGGUCAUGAUAAUAUAUAUAUCCAUAUAUAUCUGUGGGUGUCUGCGUAGCUCUCUGUGUGUCCAUUACUUUUCCAGUUACAUACUAGACGUGAUAACUAAGAUAAAUUAACAAGAAUGUCUUAAUUUAACUCUCAAUUAAUAGACGUUCCAACGCCUGGAUAACUCUCCUAUACAAAUUAACUUUAAUAAAUUUAAAUGGUCAUAUCUUGUAAAUGACUGGCUUGUAGUUUGAUUCUGCUCUUUUACAGAGUUAUAAAAGUUUUAUCCCCCUUGCCAUGCUACAAAACAUUAUAUUGUGAUUUUUGUUAUUCUAUUUUAAAAACUGUUUCCCAUUAUCCAGAUGGUAGCAGCAUGGGACCUAUGUAACUAAAAUGUUUUAGAAGUUAUUUCAUAAGGGGACAAUAGGUCUAUAUUAGAACAUUUCUUAUCCUUCUCAAAGAUUACUCUUUUACUCAAAAAUAAUGUGACAAAAUUCUUUUACUUUAUUCAUACUUGAUAAAACAGGGUAGUGCCAACCAAACUGAACCAUUUCUUGGUAAUAACCAUCAUUCUUGUUUGGGAACAUCAUGGCCUGCAGCAUCAACAUUUACGAGAACAAAAUACAUUUGCUUUCAUUACAUAUUUCCAACUAUCUGUUUUCACUAGAAAAUGACUCUAUAAUUUAUGUAAGUAAGGAACAUGUCAGCUUGCUGUCUGUAUUUCAGAAAUAUUCUACAGUGUGUAUAAACUGAUAACCAAUGUCAAUUUGAAGACCCUCAUAGACUUUUUUAAAGUUAAUUUAAUUUCUCUGAUGAAAGAAUGAACAUCUUCAUUUGGCCACUCCUCACAAUUUAGCAUGUCAGUAUUUUAUUAAAUAUUUUAAUGUCAGUAUCUCUGUAAACUUACUAAAUAUUUUAAUGUCAAUAUCUGUGUAAAUAUCCAUGUAAAUCUGUGCAGAAUCCAAUGUAAAACUGAAAUGAAAAAUAACAUGGAAGAGAAAAUGGACCUAGAAACAAACAAAAAAAGAAACUGGGAAAAUGCUUUGAGAUGUUGUUUCACUCUCAGACUCUAACUCUUAGUUUCGUAUCUGCAAAAUUGAGAUACGAUGUGAUCUCAUGAGGCUGUAGUGAGGAAUAAAUAAGGAAAUAUAUGCAAAAUAUUAAAUAUAGGGUGUGGCUUU